rnacentral:rRNA from 1 species
UACGGAGGAUGCGAGCGUUAUCCGGAUUUAUUGGGUUUAAAGGGUGCGUAGGCGGGAUGCCAAGUCAGCGGUAAAAAUGCGGUGCUCAACGCCGUCGAGCCGUUGAAGCUGGCGUUCUUGAGUGGGCGAGAAGUAUGCGGAAUGCGUGGUGUAGCGGUGAAAUGCAUAGAUAUCACGCAGAACUCCGAUUGCGAAGGCAGCAUACCGGCGCCCUACUGACGCUGAGGCACGAAAGCGUGGGUAUCGAACAGG